GACGAACGCUGGCGGCGUGCCUAAUACAUGCAAGUUGAGCGCUGAAGGUUGGUACUUGUACCAACUGGAUGAGCAGCGAACGGGUGAGUAACGCGUGGGGAAUCUGCCUUUGAGCAGGGGACAACAUUUGGAAACGAAUGCUAAUACCGCAUAAAAACUUUAAACACAAGUUUUAAGUUUGAAAGAUGCAAUUGCAUCACUCAAAGAUGAUCUCGCGUUGUAUUAGCUAGUUGGUGAGGUAAAGGCUCACCAAGGCGAUGAUACAUAGCCGACCUGAGAGGAUGAGCGGCCACAUUGGGACUGAGACACGGCCCAAACUCCUACGGGAGGCAGCAGUAGGGAAUCUUCGGCAAUGGACGAAAGUCUGACCGAGCAACGCCGCGGGAGUGAAGAAGGUUUUCGGAUCGUAAAACUCUGUUGGUAGAGAAGAACGUUGGUGAGAGUGGAAAGCUCACCAAGUGACGGUAACUACCCAGAAAGGGACGGCUAACUACGUG
rnacentral:rRNA from 1 species